UAGGGAAUCUUCGGCAAUGGACGAAAGUCUGACCGAGCAACGCCGCGUGAGUGAAGAAGGUUUUCGGAUCGUAAAACUCUGUUGUUAGAGAAGAACAAGGACGUUAGUAACUGAACGUCCCCUGACGGUAUCUAACCAGAAAGCCACGGCUAACUACGUGCCAGCAGCCGCGGUAAUACGUAGGUGGCAAGCGUUGUCCGGAUUUAUUGGGCGUAAAGCGAGCGCAGGCGGUCUGUCAAGUCGGAUGUGAAAUCCCCGGGCUCAACCUGGGAACUGCAUUCGAAACUGGCAGGCUAGAGUCUUGUAGAGGGGGGUAGAAUUCCAUGUGUAGCGGUGAAAUGCGUAGAGAUGUGGAGGAAUACCGGUGGCGAAGGCGGCCCCCUGGACAAAGACUGACGCUCAGGUGCGAAAGCGUGGGGAGCAAACAGG
rnacentral:rRNA from 1 species